rnacentral:lncRNA from 1 species
CUUUAAACAUGACAGCAAAAGUGCUUCAAUUAACUAAAACCUCAACUUGUCUCAAUUAUCAGAAAACAAACCAAACCCAUCUCUGAAACAAGCUUCAAUCAUAUAUAUAGCAGUUCAUGCAACCAUAUUUUUCUCAGGGCUCCUCUCUGGCUUCAACAAAAAAGUUCCCAUCAAACAGCAAGCUAAUACGAUCUCAGAAUUCUCUUCUACCACACCCUGAAAAAAAGAUGCUAAUAGCCUCGUUUAAUUUGAUUAUUUUCAAAUAACCACUUAUCUAGGCGUUCGAAGAAACCAUAAAUAUUCCCCCUUUUACCUAACGCUAAGUCACGUUUUUCUCAGGCAUAGAAGCGAACACCACGUAGUAGUCUUCCUCCGACAUCGAACUAUAACAAGUUUAGUUGUGGUUCUCUCAGGCAUUUCAUCGAACACUUUGUCUGCUUUGAUCAUCUUACCAUUUUUCAUACAUCGCAGCACAAGUAAUUAUAUUUCAAAACGACAUACACCUGAAAGAUUCUUCCAGAUUUGAUAUUCCAGAGGAAACGCCACAAGUAUAAACCCAUGUGGUUGAAAUCGCCCGCAUGAGUUGAUUCCACGGAAAGGCGGGAAAAUAUCGAGGGUUUCUAUCAGCGCAAACGCAAGCCCGUCG